UUUACCAGAGAAGUGUUCUCUCCAAAAAUCUUGAUCUUUUUCCUCUAUAUUUUUUCCCUCUACAAAAACUCUCUCAAUCACUCAUCUCCCUUCACUAAAAUUAAACCAGAAGCCCACAAUUCUCUACGAUUCUCACCUUGAGAAUAACAUAGUUUCCAUUAUGGUGGUGUCCAAGAGGAGGUUGCUAUGUUUUUUAUUGUUCUGUUCGUGAGGAGAUUUUUUGUUACUGUUAAUGGGAGAGGUUCAUGAUCUUGCUGCGAAGUGGAAACGUAAAGAACUGGUUCUUUAAGUAAAAUGAAAUAUUAAGACAUGAAUGCGUUUAUAUGCUUCCAUUGUGGGAAUUCCAAUCCCUUCAAUACCAAGAAUCUAGUGGAAAACCCCAAAGACAGUGACAACACUUCGAAUUUGAGGCGGCCGGUGAACUCGAGUAGUGGCGAAGUAGGAUAGGGCUGGCCAAAACAGUGGUGAACUAACAACACAGCACCCACCAACACCCACAUGACCGAAGAGAAUGAAAGGGAGAGAGAGGACCAACUGGACCACUUGCGGCUGACGACAACAAACCCAAGCGAGUGGCGGUACCUUUGGCGAUUUCUAAUCGACGACUAGUGAGUCUUGGAUGGUGCCGGCAGAUUGUGAGGAGUGAGAGAGUUUGAAAAGGGGGGAGAGAGUGCGCUUGCCAAAAAGGAAGGGAAAAGUAAAAGAGGAAGAUAGUGGCUGUCUAGGGCUUUAUGCGACUGAUAGCCUUGAUGUCUAGGCUUACCCUUUAAAUAUAAAUAAAUAAAUACCUAGCCAAAUCUGUAUUUGACCACAUAUCUAUUAUUAUUAUUAUUCCUUUUUCU